AUACAGCAUGUUUUACGAUGGGAGUGCCUUGUGGCGGACAGUGCCGGUUGCUCUCUCGUAGAAGUGUGUCGACGUCGACCGUCUUUCCCGUUCCCUUCUUGGCCGGCCCGUCGCGCGUCGAUUCAACACACUCUCCGUGUGACUCACAGCGGUCGGUUAAGUGUGCCAGUCGGUGUUUUCCUCUCUUCCUCGUGCUACGACACGCGGUCCUCUUCUUUAUCCUCAUUUGCGAGUCCGCUACCGGCCAAUCGCAAUCUAGCCGGAGAGACUGGCGCGAUUUUUUGAAAGUAAGAAAGGAACGAAAAAGACAGAGAACGGAGGUGUGGCUGUGCAUCGGUAGGCAGAUAUUGCGAAUUUCCGUCGGUUCUUUGAUAAACGAGCGGACGGACGUUCGCGUUAGAAACGCCGCGAACCUGGUACUUUAAUGAAUUAAGGGAUCAAGUCGAGGCUAAACCGAGACAAAUUUAUAACGAAUAGCCUAAAAAGAAUCAAGUCACUAUAGAAAAUUGAACCCCCUGUUACAUUUGCUUGACGAUGAAGGUAACGGGAUGGGGAAAUCGCGGGAAAUUCAAGCGUGGCACCUGUGGAAUUCGAUCGUAGACAGGAUCAGAAUCGUCCUGACAUAGCUAAGAUCCCAGAAACACCGAGGCUAACUUUGUUCGACCUUGACUCUUCAGGAACUUACCCUGGCCGAGUGACGUUGAGGGUCGAAGGACGAUCUUCACCUCUGCCCAUUCGAUUUUCUCGAUUUUCUCGAAUGUCUCAAUCGUCGCGUUAGAUCGUCGCGUCUAUCCGUUUGAAGAAAUGCGGAAGAACCCCCGGUGGAUUCCCAGGGAAUAUUUUAACCUUGGUAAGAGGUUCUCCCUUUCUCUCCUCUUAGCCCUCUUUCUAUACAGUGACCUAUUUAGGCAUGGGCAAGGUCGUUUAGUGAAGGCCCAAUGCAUUCACCACGAGCGGAAGCUACCUGACUGAAUUAUCAUUCAAAGUUAUGCAUUCAACUUAUGCAUUCGAAACGGCAAUGGUAAAGAAUUUUGAGGAAUUUCGUUAAAAUCAUUUUAUAACAGCCAGGUAAAUAAUAAUAGCAAUUUAAGAUAUAAUAAUUCUUCUUAACAACUAUUGACCAGAUUAUUUUUGCUUAUAUUUACCUUUACAUUCUCGUAUCUCAUCCUAACUGAAGGAUUCCAUCAUCCUACCUCCCUUCCCUAGAAACAAGUACUUUUCGUGAUUGACAACGAAUUGUUUUCGGCGUCAGGCAGUUCCAGAACCUUUUAACAUUGGCGUCAUGUAAUCCUGCAGCCUUCACCAGCUUCAAGGACCUACGCGAGUCUCUCUGCUGAUCGUUCGAUCACGAAGAAGCCGAGCCAAGGACGGCUACUAACAACUUUAUUCGGUAUUCUGGUGAAAUUUAACAUUAUAUACUCUCUAAUUAAAUAAUUAGAGUAAAUAGUAAAAGAACGAAGCUUCAAUUUGAAAAUUAAUUGACUAAUGAACUGUAGUUUCUCAUAAACUGCAGCGUUUCGUAAACGUUGAAAAUAAUAACGCGAUAAAGUGGUGGCAUUAAAAGCAGCAGCAGCAGUAGCAGUAGCGGUAGAGGAAGUUGGUUCUCGCACGGUACAAAGCCGUGUCCACUUCACGUGGGUAUCUGUGUACGCGCACAGGUCGCCACGCAAUGAAUCGCAGAAUUUCCACGAGUUUCCCGCGCAAAGCUUCCUCGGCUUGGAACUCGUUUGAUUAACAGUGGCCGCGGCGCGGUCAGUAGAACGAUUCUGCCGGUGGUCAGACUCGACUCGAGUUUCUACUAUGUAUAUACGUAGUUCGAACAUUCUCCUCCCUCGCGAUUCCAGCCUUUCGUUUAGGGCCGAAAAAAAGAAAGAAAAUUCUUUGUAUCGGUCAAUUUCUUUAACUCCUUCAUUGACAAACCGUAAAUGUACCGUACACGCUAAUAUAAAUUAUUACGUUUAAUUCGACGAGUUUCCUCCUUGGUCUUUUUAUUAGAAUUACAUACCCUAAAUCAGGUUGUCCUGGAGAAAAUAUAUAAAUCAUAUAAUCUUUUAUUAUUAAAUAUCAUAAAACCUAGAUACUGGUAAUUCUUUAAAAUGUUUUGGAAAAUUUGUUGAUCGAAUAUCAAUGAACAUGACAGGUAUGCACUGUCGACGAAUCAGUAAUCCGUUCAGUUAUCGAUACUACGCGGUCUGAUAAUUAAAUAAUGGGGUUGACGCUACGCCAGACAAAUUAAUGUCCCUAGUCAAGCAGCGAGCAUUGUACCGUUGAUUUUCGACCCUCUCUGCCGCAAAUAUCGCUUUAAUCUCUUCCGUCAGUGUGUACGGAUGACUUAUCUCUCGUUUUCCCUCUGUCCUGUGACAUUGAAUGCUGAUCAAUGAGAAUAGUUGAGAUAAAAAUUAUUUCGAGUACAAUUUUCCUUUCGAGUUCUAUAAUCGCUUAUUUUGGUACAUUUAGUGUACAGUGUAUCGUAUCAAGUUCUUUCGCACUUCCCCUUAACUAAAAGAAGCGUGCACCUACCGUGCACCUGACUGUACGUCCACGUGAUACCGACAGUGGCAUUGUGGUGUGGAAAAAAAAAAAAAAGAAAUAGAUAUGGACGGCUACCAGGAAAAUA